UCCCUGGUGGUCCAGUGGCUAAGACUCCUCACUUUGAAUGCAGGGGGCCCAGGUUUGAUUCCUGGUCAGGGAA